GAACGCGAAGAACCUUACCAGGUCUUGACAUCCUUUGACCACUCUAGAGAUAGAGCUUUCCCUUCGGGGACAAAGUGACAGGUGGUGCAUGGUCGUCGUCAGCUCGUGUCGUGAGAUGUUGGGUUAAGUCCCGCAACGAGCGCAACCCUUAUUACUAGUUGCCAGCAUUGAGUUGGGCACUCUAGUGAGACUGCCGGUGACAAACCGGAGGAAGGUGGGGAUGACGUCAAAUCAUCAUGCCCCUUAUGACUUGGGCUACACACGUGCUACAAUGGAUGGUACAACGAGCAGCGAACUCGCGAGGGUAAGCGAAUCUCUUAAAGCCAUUCUCAGUUCGGAUUGUAGGCUGCAACUCGCCUACAUGAAGCCGGAAUCGCUAGUAAUCGCGGAUCAGCACGCCGCCGGUGAAUACGUUCCCGGGUCUUGUACACACC
rnacentral:rRNA from 1 species